ACGAACGCUGGCGGCGUGCUUAACACAUGCAAGUCGAACGAUGAAGCGGGUGCUUGCACUCGUGGAUUAGUGGCGAACGGGCGAGUAACACGUGAGUAACCUGUCCUUUUCUUUGGGAUAACGGCUGGAAACGGCUGCUAAUACUGGAUAUUCAGGCUGCAUCGCAUGGUGUGGUUUGGAAAGGUUUUUUCUGGGAUUGGGUGGGCUCGCGGCCUAUCAGCUUGUUGGUGGGGUGAUGGCUUACCAAGGCUUUGACGGGUAGCCGGCCUGAGAGGGUGGUCGGUCGCACUGGGACUGAGAUACGGCCCAGACUCCUACGGGAGGCAGCAGUGGGGAAUAUUGCACAAUGGACGAAAGUUUGAUGCAGCGACGCCGCGUGGAGGGUGUAGGCCUUCGGGUUGUGAACUCCUUUUUCUCGCGAAAAAGGCACAGUUUUGGCUGUGUUGAUGGUAGUGGGGGAAGAAGCGCCGGCUAACUACGUG
rnacentral:rRNA from 1 species